GUGCAAUCCAGUAUCCGCAUUCUGCAAUCAUCUUUUCUGCCGCCAGUCUGCUUGGUCUACACUCCGCAACAAAAUUAAUCUGUUGGCCGUUUCCGCUUGUCGCUUUGUCCGCAUAUUGAAGAUGACAGAAAACAAGGAAGAAAAAAUGCACACAACCUUCAGAAGAAAAGAUAUUAAUCGCCUACCAGUGACAGAGACCACAACCUUAGUAUCCAGUUAUCCAUCAAUCAUCAGUCACCACUCUCGUCGAAGUUACAAUCUGACGAGUACAUCCACUUGCGUGACGCCAUCGCUACUGAAGGAGACGUGACCAACAUUGGUCAUUUGACCAUUCUCUCAGCUACUCAUGUUGGAAGCCCA